GACAUGUGGCAAAGGUCACCAGGCCAUGAAUCGAACCUGCGACGGCCACGUCCAGGACUGAGGCCUUCAUAUGUGGACUCUGCUUAACCCCUGCACCACCACAACACACAAGGAGGCGGGUCUUAACACUGUCAACCACUAUCAUGAAUAGCGGCCUGCAUUCUCUCCUCUACUCUUUACUCUCUGCUUUGAUACAGCUAGCAGAGCCUGUAGAGAAUCCUCAGGCUAGUUAGCAUAGCCAUUGAUGACAGCAGAUAAAUGGUUCUUCUGUAAUGUGUUACAGUACCACCAACUGGCCCGGCAGACCUACUACAUCAUAUGUCUUGUAGACACGUGUUUUUCUCUUAAUCAAAAAUACGCCAUACUGUCUAACCUAACAAGAAUCACCAGAGGGAGCAUCCCGGGUUCAAGUACCCACCGCUUUCUAUGUCAGCCUCUUCUUCAGCGCUCGGAACGGACAGCUGCGCUGACUCUGUGAUAUAAGUGAAGCAAACUGACCCCAUGAACCUGGUCUGGUGCCAGGUAAAGGAAAGUGCUGGAACAGGUUGACAGUGGGACCCAUUGUUCAUUGUGGUGGGAGGCCAAGGUCACCACAGACUGCGGAAGGACAGACACUUGGCCAAAGAUCUGCCGCGAGACUAAUGUGAGGAAACAAGCCCUUUGAUAUAAAGUGGCAGGAUUGUGAUUUAGUAAUUCUCCCGAAAAAAAAUUUGUUAAGGAUAUCUUGCGAAUGAGGACUGUGUUUAAUAAAUACGUGAGAUACCACUUUAACUUCCACAUAAUUAUCCUUAUACUCGGUUGAAUCAGGUCAGUAGCUUUGAGGAGUGGGUGACGA